rnacentral:rRNA from 1 species
UAGCAAUACCUUUGCCGGCGCACGGGUGAGUAACACGUAUCCAACCUGCCGAUAACUCGGGGAUAGCCUUUCGAAAGAAAGAUUAAUACCCGAUGGCAUAAUAGAACCGCAUGGUUUGAUUAUUAAAGAAUUUCGGUUAUCGAUGGGGAUGCGUUCCAUUAGGCAGUUGGUGGGGUAACGGCCCACCAAACCUUCGAUGGAUAGGGGUUCUGAGAGGAAGGUCCCCCACAUUGGAACUGAGACACGGUCCAA